GUAGAAUAGUACCCUGCCACGGUAC
rnacentral:ncRNA from 2 species